rnacentral:rRNA from 1 species
CGGAUGUGCUURACACAUGCAAGUCGAGGGGCAGCACUUCGGGUGGCGACCGGCGCACGGGUGAGUAACACGUAUGCAACCUACCCAUAACUCAGGGAUAGCCCGGCGAAAGUCGGAUUAAUACCUGAUGACACAGGGAUACCGCAUGGUAUUAUUUGUUAAAGAUUUAUUGGUUAUGGAUGGGCAUGCGUUCCAUUAGGUAGUUGGGAGGGUAACGGCCUGCCAAGCCUGCGAUGGAUAGGGGAACUGAGAGGUUGGUCCCCCACACUGGUACUGAGACACGGACCAGACUCCUACGGGAGGCAGCAGUGAGGAAUAUUGGUCAAUGGGCGAGAGCCUGAACCAGCCAAAUCGCGUGAAGGAAGAAGGUAUUAUGUAUUGUAAACUUCUUUUGUGAGGGAAUAAAGUGCACCACGUGUGGUGUUUUGUAUGUACCUUACGAAUAAGCAUCGGCUAACUCCGUGCCAGCAGCCGCGGUAAUACNGAAGAUGCGANCGUUAUCCGGAUUUAUUGGGUUUAAAGGGUGCCUUAGGUGGGAAUUUA